GGAACCUUUAAAAUGGAUAUAAAUAGUUAGAAGUUUAAAUUAAAAUAAAAAAUUUAAAUUUAAAAAAAAACCCCAAACCCCAAAAAGUCAACCAAACCACAUCUAUUUUUUUUCAGAGGAAUGUUACACUCCCAUUUCUUUGCUGAUUUUUAAAUCAGUCCAAUACAAAUAAAUCAGAAUACAAUACUGGCCUUGGAUCACCUAUACUUCAAAACUGCUAUUUAUUGUUGCAGAGACUACUCUUUACAAAGUAAUUGUGAUUUCAGUUGCUUAAAUAGAGAUACCAUUUAGCAUAUGGCAUUUGGCUUUGGAGCCUCAACAGUCAAUGGUAAGAGAUGGUCCUCCUGAGAGGGUAUGAGAGUUUGCCCUGGCUGGGUCUCUAGUGCAGGGAUCACAAUAUGCAAAAGUACACUGGUGACAGUGUCUUUAUCUUACAGAUUAAAGGAGUCCUCCUUUGGAGCACAUCAUGGCUCUUGUGCAUGGAAACUAGGUUGUGAGCACAGUGGGAAGCAGAAAACUGUGCACUCUGUCUUCUCCUAAGACAGAAUUGUGAAGCAAAUGGGAGAGACAUUAUGUGACUAUUCUCCAGAAAAGCUGCAAGAUUCUUCUUUACUACAGCAAAUGCAAUGUGAAUAAAUUUGGCACUUCAAACUCUUGGGCAAAACAGGGAAGCGCUAUCCAAAGCCUUAUUUUGAAGUUACACGAUGGCUGCACUGGAAUAUUAAACAACUUGUAACUGCCUUUUUAUAUCUAUCUAAAAGAAAUAAAAGAUUCAAAAACU